UACAGGGGGUGCAAGCGUUAUUCGGAAUUAUUGGGCGUAAAGAGCGUGUAGGUGGUUUGGUAAGUUUGAUGUGAAAUCCCUGGGCUCAAUCCAGGAAGUGCAUUGAAUACUGCUAGACUAGAGUGCAGGAGAGGAAAGCGGAAUUCCAGGUGUAGAGGUGAAAUUCGUAGAUAUCUGGAGGAACAACAGAGGCGAAGGCGGCUUUCUGGACUGCAACUGACACUGAGACGCGAAAGCGUGGGGAGCAAACAGG
rnacentral:rRNA from 1 species